rnacentral:misc_RNA from 1 species
GAUGAAGAACGCAGCGAAAUGCGAUAAGUAGUGUGAAUUGCAGAAUUCAGUGAAUCAUCGAAUCUUUGAACGCACAUUGCGCCCCUUGGUAUUCCGAGGGGCAUGCCUGUUCGAGCGUCAUUAUAACCCCUCAAGCUCAGCUUGGUGUUGGGGCCUGCUGCACUGGCAGCCCUUAAAAUCAGUGGCGGCGCCAUCUGGCUCUAAGCGUAGUAAUUCUUCUCGCUAUGGAGUCCUGGUGGAUGCUUGCCAUCAACCCCCAAUUUUUCUAUGGUUGACCUCGGAUCAGGUAGGGAUACCCGCUGAACUUAAGCAUAUCAUAAGCGGAGGA